CCGGUCCGUAAGUCAUGCUGCCCAAUUCCAGCUUUAAUGCAGCUAGUUAAGCGGGCAAUUCCCUGUUCGAGUCGAGGGGACCGUAC
rnacentral:tRNA from 1 species